UUACAAGUGUCUUAGAAAACCGCCUCGGUAAAACGAGGAGGAAGGUGGGGAGUGACGUCUGGUCCGCAUAGCCCUUAUGUCCUGGGCUACACACGCGCUACAAUGGCCGAUACAGUAGGAAGCCAAAUCGUAAGAUGGAGCUAAUCCUUAAAGUCGGUCUCAGUUCGGAUUGAGGUCUGAAAUUCGACCUCAUGAAGUUGGAUUUGCUAGUAAUCGUAGAUCAGCAAUGCUACGGUGAAUACGUUCUCCGGGUCUU
rnacentral:rRNA from 1 species